rnacentral:rRNA from 1 species
GAUGAACGCUGGCGGCGUGCCUAAUACAUGCAAGUCGAGCGAACAGACGAGGCGCUUGCUCCUCUGACGUUAGCGGCGGACGGGUGAGUAACACGUGGAUAACCUACCUAUACGACUGGGAUCACUUCGGGAAACCGGAGCUAAUACCGGAUAAUAUAUUGAACCGCAUGGUUCAAUAGUGAAAGACGGGUUUGCUGUCACUUCUAGAUGGAUCCGCGCCGCAUUAGCUAGUUGGUACGGUAACGGCUUACCAAGGCAACGAUGCGUAGCCGACCUGGGAGGGUGAUCGGCCACACUGGAGCUGAGACACGGUCCAGGCUCCUACGGGAGGCAGAAGUAGGGAAGCUUCCGCAAUGGGCGGAAGCCUGACGGAGCAACGCCGCGUGAGUGAUGAAGGUCUUCGGAUCGUAAAACGCUGUUAUUAGGGAAGAACAAAUGUGUAAGUAACUAUGCACGUCGUGACGGUACCUAAUCAGAAAGCCACGGCUAACUACGUG